ensembl:lncRNA
CGCUACCCUGGGAGACCAGACCUACAAUAAAAAAAAAAAAAAAAAAAAAAAAAAGGAAAAAAAGAGGGAGGGACGCAAAGCCAGGACUGGAGCGUAGGUGGGAUGGGAUGAGAACAGUCCCCCUCCCCCAAACAGAAGAGAGAUCCUUGGCAACCGGACAGGGUCCUGGAGCUGACCAGGCUGCAGGAGCGGAGGAGAGAUGACCCUGUCUCAUUCUGCAGCAGUCUGGCCUGGAACUACAGAACCCAGGCUGGACUCAAACAAGUGGCAAUCCUCCUGCUUCAGCCUCCUGAGUUCUGGAAUAUCAGCAACAGGAACGACAACAGCGACCGCCAGCCAUAGGUGUCAAGAUGUGGUUGACUUUUUUCUUUGGUGGGAGAAGCAGCCAUCUGGGCUUCCAGGCUUUCUGAAGUUCCCUUGCCUUCUCUCUUCUUCAACACUGCAGAUCCAGGCCCGAGCUGCCCAGGUGGCCGAAGCUAGUCUGACUUGGUUACUCUCAGGUCUUCAGUCAGCAGUUUGAGCUAGCCUUGGGUCCCAGCCACUGUCUUCCCAGGGCUAACGAAUCCCUGGAGCCAAGAGAAACUGUUUUUCCUUUUUUGUCCCCAGUUUGCAUCAGCCCCCACUUUGCAGGAGAACCAUGCUUUGAAGGCAGAGGGAGGCCUUUUUUCUCCUGAGUCUCCUGUUUGGUUUGUUUUUCCUGGCAGGAUUUGUGUAGCUCUGGCUGUCCUGGAACUCGCUCUACAGACUAGGCUGGUCUCGAACUCAGAGACUUGUCUGCCUCUACCCCUCAAGUGCUGGGAUUAAAGGCAUGGGCUACCACUGACCAGAUCCUUUUAUUAUUAUCUUAUAUUCAUAAAAUCAUGGGUUUUAUGGUGACAUUUUCAUAAACAUAUAUGUUGAUCUCGCUUGCCUCUCAAAUCUGGCCGUGGUGGCACACACCUGCAGGCUCAGCUUUUAGGACCUGAGGAGGCCAGAAGCUGAAGGGGGAAACAAUGUCCCCAUCAUCUCCUUCCUCCCAUUGUCCCCAUUCUUCCUCUCCAAGAAGCUCUGGACAUACACAAGCGUGCACAUGCAUGCACGUGAACACACACACACCAGUGUAAAUAGAAUAAAAAAGGAAAGGAAAUAUUAAAACAAGACCAGAAAGACGUCAAGUCAGGCAGUCCCAGAGGUUCUGGGCUUGCAACUCAUGGGCAGUGACAGGGUCACAGGGUCCCCCAGGCCCUACCAAGCCACCUUUGCAGAUUCACCACCCUUUGUGUGGCUAGGAGUAAAUCUGUGGCUGACAUCCGUUCCUUACUCUGACUCUGAGAAGUGGG